GGUGAAAUAGAAUUACAUAAUUUUUUCUGAAAAUAUAAUUCUAUGUGUGUGUAUGUGUAUAGAAAAAAAAAUGACUAUUUUAAGCAAAAUUCAAUUAUCUGGAUAUCUGCAUAACCCAAGAUCUCAAUUGAUUUGGCAAUUGGAGUUUUAUGAUAAUCAAAUUUCAAGUAUGCAUUAAAAAUUUGUUUAAAUACUAUAGUUAAUGUAACAUAAUUUAAUUAAGAAAUAAUUAAAUUCUUUAAAAAUUGUCUUUCUAAAAAGUAUUAAAUUGCUUUCUGAAUAGGUCAGAUGGAAAAUUAUGUGAUGAUGGAUCACCUAAAACUUUAGAUUCUUUGUUCAGAAGAGGUUGUGGUACUUUCUUUGAUAUUGUUCAUAGUCAUAAAAUUCCUUUAAUACUUUUUACUGAACAAGAAGAAGUUGUUAGACAGUUUUUGUCUUGUACAUCCAUUUAUCCAAAUGUAUAUCCAAUAUCUUCAAAAGAUCACAAAGAAAAGAAAGACAAUACAUUAAGAGAAAAUUUACAGAAGAAACCAAAUACUAUUGUUUUAGGAAACGAUUGCAAAUUCGACUUCCUAGCCAAUGAUACAAAUACCGUUUUACAUAUUGGUUUUUUAGAGAACGAGGUUGACGUUCGACUGUCAGAAUAUUUGGCCAAAUAUGACAUCGUUGUGACAUCGGAGUCGUGUUUAGAAGUGAUCAAUGUGUUCCUUCAGCGUAUCAUGUAAAACGAAGCAUUUCAUUUAGAGACAAUGCUUUUGAUAGCCAUUUCAAAUGCUAGUUCUUUAAUAUUUAGAUAUGUAAAUAGAUAUACCUUCACUAGGUAAAAGACUUUUUAUUUUCCUUACAAAUAUCAACUAUGAUACGCAAAAAAAAGAAUUUAUAAAGAUUUCUUUAGAUGCAAUUUAUGUUUUAUAAAAUUGUUGGAUGAUUGUUAUUAACUAUUAUUUAUAUUUUGACUAUUUACACAGUGCUACCUAAGACUUCAUUGAUAUAGAGAGAUUUAUUUAUUUUAAAUUCAGAUGCCGAAAAGACUUAAAUGUAACAAAUUAGUUUUGGCACUAAUCUAAAAUUAAAAUCUUGCAAUGUUUUGUAUAAAGAAUGAAUAGAAAAAAAAACAAUCUGAUGUAGGAAAAGAUGCCAAAUUUUUUAUUCAAAUUUCUAAUCAUAUUGUUACAAUACUAUCCAAAAACAAAAGUUUCAUUUUUGUUUUAUACACAAUUACUGAUGGAUAUUUAAAAUUCCGACAAUACUUUUACACAUUUUUCAAAUGAUCAUAAAAAUAAGCAUGAGUUAUAACCUUCCAAAAUGAUAUCUGAUGAUAAUAUUAACUCACGCUUAUCGCAAUACAAAAUGCAAGAUUGCACAUUAUUUGUGCAUUAUUAACUGCCACUGUUAUAUAAGAUCAAGACAAUUUUAAUAUAGUUAAUUAAUUUGCAAAUUUUAAAACAUAAAGGUGCAAAAGUGACAAAAUUUGCUUCCAUUGCAUUAAUGUUGUGUUGUGUUUUUAAUAAUGUAAAUAGUAUGAAAUUUGAAUGUAAGCUUUCUAAUGUUUUUUCUCAAUGUCAUGUUUUAUUAUUUUGAAAGUUCAAAAUAAUUGAAUUUAUAGUAUUAAUAGAAAUUGUCCAAGAGGAAUAAAGUCAUAAGGUACAGGGAACUAUGUAGAAAGUUUAUUGUGAUUCCCGAGAUCCUUGGGAAUUAUCUUGCUCUGUUGAAAAAUUUUAAAGCCAUCUAUAAUAUAUUAGUUGACUUAAUUCUUGACGUAAUUCAGAUUUCAUUAACGUUCGAGUUAUAGAUUACGAUUACGUACAAUGGGAAAAUUUUCUACAUAUCUAGACAUUGUAAAUAUUCGGUAUAUUUGUACAAAUAUAUAUUGGGACCAAUUGGCUUUUAUUCUUGGACAAUUUUUAUAGUUUAAUUCCAUUUUACUUUGUUAAAAAAAGAGCAAAUAAUUCAUAUUUUGGAAGUGUCGAACGGUGCUUUAACAAUCAAGACGUUUGCUCAGUAGCAUAUUGUGUUGAGCAAUAUUAGUCAGCUACUUGAAUUAUUUAUUUUUUGCUCAUAAUUUCUCACUUUAAGAUAUUAAUAUAUAAUUAAUAGUUAUAAUUGAUUUAUAACUUUGUUAAAACAUGCUCCUUAAUUUAAAUACCUAUUUAAAAAUGUAAGAUGAUUUUUUUUUUUGGCUUAAAAAAAUAUUUUAAUGUAAAUUCUAAUGGUUCAUGUAAAAAGUACUAUUAGUAUAACAACUGAUAUAUUUUAUAGAAAAUAUAUUGAUGAAUAUAUAAAUAUAAUAUGAAUUAUUAAAUAUUUUGAUAAUUCAUCAGCCAUUAAGUAUCGGUGAAUAUACCAGAGUUAAAUAUUUUUGCAUCAUGAUGUUCUAUAAAAAUAGAAAAAAAUAUCUAAUGUAGAGAAAUUGUGCAUUUUAGAAUAAAUGUUUAAAAUAGCCAAGCUAAAUAUAUAAUUAUUUAAAAUAGGUUUUAUAAUAGUAUUUUUCAGCUAGUCUUGGAAAACAACAGUAUUUCUGUUUAUCUUUCAAGAUAGAGUUUGAGGAUGUUCCUGUAUAAAAAACUUUUAAGUUUUUCUUUUUUAUAAUGUGUAGUAUAGUAAGAGUUAAAUGCUUAUAUUCUUGAAAGAUUUUCUUGUCAUUAAAUAAAUAAAUUGAAAUUGUUUUGCUGUUGAUGUUGUUGUAAAUAAAUUAAUACGCUUCACAUUUUUCUUACAUUUAAUUUGAAAUUUUAAUUUUACAUUCGGAUAAUUUUCCUAAAAUUUUUAUAUAUAAAAUAUAAAAAGUCUUAAAGCUAAUAGGAUUGUUGCUCGACUUUCCCCGGUACUCAAACAGGAGAUUAGCAAGUCCAAUGCUUUCCAAUUAUAGUAGGAUACCAGGCACCGUGUAUUACGAGAUGAUGUGGUUUGUGGUUGGAGUGUACUUUAAAAUAUAGUCACGAUGUAACAGAACAAAUGUCGGGACGAGGUCAAAUGUCGUUUGCUUGGUCUUUCUAAUUACAUUAUUACUGGUCGGUGACUUAUUAAUAGGCCAGCGACUGUGCCCUAAGAAACCAAACGGAAAUGACCUCAAUUGACUUAAGUGUACAUUUUACACAAAAAGAAUAAACAUGUUUUCUGCUCAUUUCUAUUCAAUAGUUUUGUUCUUUCUCGUGUAAAUGUCGAUAAUAGUUACGAGUUUGUUUAGUAUAUAUAUUUUUUCCUGUAUUUCAACCACUCUCGGCUAACAGUACGUUUCUAUAUUCAACAAUUGACUGAACAAUGAGAAAUAUACGUUUCUAAAUGACAUUUUCUGUACGUCAUUUUACUACAUAGGUAUGAGAAUUUAAUUUCCGGAAUGCACCUUUUGAAAAAUAUACACGCGGAACUGUACGCUAGUGAUUACUGUCACCUUCACACUCUCAACUUACUCUUCUGUGCAUCUAUACACUGACUUGAACGGCGUUCACAUUUUUGCAAUUAGGCCUGGAACUCAUUUUCCGGAAUACUGUUGAACAGUUGUCUCACAUUCUGUUGAGUAUUAGUUGUAUUAGAAAGUCUUCGUCCUUUCAGCGCAGAUUUUGGAAUAGCCAGCAAACACAGUGGGCUAAGUCAGGUGAAUUGGCAGAAUGAUGUAAUUGGGUAUUCGCUUUUUUGUCCAGAAAAUGUCUCGCAGUGACUUGGCGCUUAUUGUGAUGAAUGAUUCACUUGUCAGACCACAGUUCGGACAUUUUCCUUGGAAAAGAGUCUCAUAAUCUCUGAUGUACUUCUAAAUAGCGUUGUUGGUUGAUUGUCCCUAUUCAAUAGACUAUUCUC